rnacentral:tRNA from 2 species
GGUGGGUUUCCCGAGCGGCCAAAGGGAGCAGACUGUAAAUCUGCCGUCAUCGACUUCGAAGGUUCGAAUCCUUCCCCCACCACCA